CUGUACAAACACUAACAUAUAUUCCAUCAUCCGAAGGCGCUAGCAAUAAUGUAUUGUCUUUGUUUUAUUUAUAGUAUUCAAGAACGGUGAAGAAAAGAAUAUAUUCGGAGAAAACAGUCAUAUUUACCCAAACGCAUUGUCGAUGUAUCUACUAAGAACAGGAAAAUGGAAAAUGCCCAAAACUUUUAUAGAAAAAUUUUCCAACCAACGAUCAAUCGAGUUUAUUUUCGAAGAAAAAAUGACUGACGAUUUCAAGGAAGGUCUUUGGAAAGAUUUGGAAUCAAAGACCAAAUCAGCAUAUCGUGUUCCGAAAUGGAAACGGAAAGAAAAAGGUAGAUUGAAAAAUGAGAUUAUCAUUUUUGUUUUCGGACCAGCCGAAUCAGACAAGGGUAUGACGAUAUGUGUGCCAGUGUAUUGUCACUGAGAAUC